rnacentral:rRNA from 1 species
CGGAUUGUACUCUGNAACCCGAGUACAUGAAGCUGGAAUCGCUAGUAAUCGCGAAUCAGAAUGUCGCGGUGAAUACGUUCCCGGGUCUUGUACACACCGCCCGUCACACCAUGGGAGUUGGAAAUGCCCGAAGUCAGUGACCGAACCGAAAGGAAGGAGCUGCCGAAGGUGGAGCCGAUGACUGGGGUGAAGUCGUAACAAGGUACC